GCCAGUGUGUUAUAGUGGUUUGAGAGUUAGAUGAUGACUCUGGAGAUCAGGGUUCGAUUCCCUGCUCGGCCA